GAAAAACAGAGACACCUGGAAAAGCUUUGCAGGAGGAGUGGCCAUGUCACCUGGUAGCAUGUACAUGUCUGCAGGGCCCAGCUGAGUUCUGGGGGAUGGAAGGUGGUUCCAGGAAAUGGUGACCUGAGGAACAGGUGUGUGCUCUGUGCUCCUGCUCCUCACCACACGAUGGCCCCAGAGCCCUACGAAACCUGUAAAUGAGUCCAGAGGCCUAAAAUGCUUCUCUCAAAGGUCGUGCUGAUUUCCUGAUUAAAAGAUUAAAAGAGCUGGGC